rnacentral:sRNA from 1 species
GCCGGGGGCGGUGGUGCACUCCUGUCCUCCCAGCAGCUUGGGAGGCUGAGGCAGGAGGAUCACAGGUUCAAAGCCAGCCUCAGCAAAAGUGAGGCCCUAAGCAAUUCAGUGAGACCCUGUCUCUA